GGAGGAGCAACAUUCUCAGUGAUAACUGGCACAGAUUCAAGUGGAACAUUAAUAGCAGACUCAUCCUCCUCCAAAUCAUUAUCAAUGAUAGGUAGAGGAAUCAUUGGCUGCUUAUUUGAAUCUUGCACACCAUACGGAGUUUGCUUUUCCUCAAAAUUAAUUUCUUGAGGUUUUAUACUCCCACUGAUUUGGUCAUUUUCAAGGAAUCUAGCAUUUCUUGUCUCCACAAUCCUCAAAGUAUGAU
rnacentral:lncRNA from 1 species